rnacentral:rRNA from 1 species
AUUGAACGCUGGCGGCAGGCCUAACACAUGCAAGUCGAACGGUAACAGGAAGAAGCUUGCUUCUUUGCUGACGAGUGGCGGACGGGUGAGUAAUGUCUGGGAAACUGCCUGAUGGAGGGGGAUAACUACUGGAAACGGUAGCUAAUACCGCAUAACGUCGCAAGACCAAAGAGGGGGACCUUCGGGCCUCUUGCCAUCGGAUGUGCCCAGAUGGGAUUAGCUAGUAGGUGGGGUAACGGCUCACCUAGGCGACGAUCCCUAGCUGGUCUGAGAGGAUGACCAGCCACACUGGAACUGAGACACGGUCCAGACUCCUACGGGAGGCAGCAGUGGGGAAUAUUGCACAAUGGGCGCAAGCCUGAUGCAGCCAUGCCGCGUGUAUGAAGAAGGCCUUCGGGUUGUAAAGUACUUUCAGCGGGGAGGAAGGGAGUAAAGUUAAUACCUUUGCUCAUUGAUGUACCCGCAGAAGAGC